UCGAGUGGCGAACGGGUGAGUAACACGUGGGUGAUCUGCCCUGCACUUUGGGAUAAGCCUGGGAAACUGGGUCUAAUACCGAAUAUGACCGCCUUCUGGGUGUGGUGGAAAGCUUUUGCGGUGUGGGAUGGGCCCGCGGCCUAUCAGCUUGUUGGUGGGGUAAUGGCCUACCAAGGCGACGACGGGUAGCCGGCCUGAGAGGGUGACCGGCCACACUGGGACUGAGAUACGGCCCAGACUCCUACGGGAGGCAGCAGUGGGGAAUAUUGCACAAUGGGCGCAAGCCUGAUGCAGCGACGCCGCGUGAGGGAUGACGGCCUUCGGGUUGUAAACCUCUUUCAAUAGGGACGAAGCGCAAGUGACGGUACCUAUAGAAGAAGGACCGGCCAACUACGUGCCAGCAGCCGCGGUAAUACGUAGGGUCCGAGCGUUGUCCGGAAUUACUGGGCGUAAAGAGCUCGUAGGUGGUUUGUCACGUUGUUCGUGAAAACUCACAGCUUAACUGUGGGCGUGCGGGCGAUACGGGCAGACUAGAGUACUGCAGGGGAGACUGGAAUUCCUGGUGUAGCGGUGGAAUGCGCAGAUAUCAGGAGGAACACCGGUGGCGAAGGCGGGUCUCUGGGCAGUAACUGACGCUGAGGAGCGAAAGCGUGGGGAGCGAACAGGAUUAGAUACCCUGGUAGUCCACGCCGUAAACGGUGGGUACUAGGUGUGGGUUUCCUUCCUUGGGAUCCGUGCCGUAGCUAACGCAUUAAGUACCCCGCCUGGGGAGUACGGCCGCAAGGCUAAAACUCAAAGAAAUUGACGGGGGCCCGCACAAGCGGCGGAGCAUGUGGAUUAAUUCGAUGCAACGCGAAGAACCUUACCUGGGUUUGACAUGCACAGGACGCCAGUAGAGAUAUUGGUUCCCUUGUGGCCUGUGUGCAGGUGGUGCAUGGCUGUCGUCAGCUCGUGUCGUGAGAUGUUGGGUUAAGUCCCGCAACGAGCGCAACCCUUGUCUCAUGUUGCCAGCACGUAAUGGUGGGGACUCGUGAGAGACUGCCGGGGUCAACUCGGAGGAAGGUGGGGAUGACGUCAAGUCAUCAUGCCCCUUAUGUCCAGGGCUUCACACAUGCUACAAUGGCCGGUACAAAGGGCUGCGAUGCCGUGAGGUGGAGCGAAUCCUUUCAAAGCCGGUCUCAGUUCGGAUCGGGGUCUGCAACUCGACCCCGUGAAGUCGGAGUCGCUAGUAAUCGCAGAUCAGCAACGCUGCGGUGAAUACGUUCCCGGGCCUUGUACACACCGCCCGUCACGUCAUGAAAGUCGGUAACACCCGAAGCCGGUGGCCUAACCCUUGUGGAGGGAGCCGUCGAAGGUGGGAUCGGCG
rnacentral:rRNA from 1 species